UACGGGGGGGGUAAGCGUUGUUCGGAAUUACUGGGCGUAAAGGGCUCGUAGGCGGCCAACUAAGUCAUACGUGAAAUCCCUCAGCUUAACUGGGGAACUGCGUGUGAUACUGGAUGGCUUGGAUGUGGGAGAGGGAUGCGGAAUUCCAGGUGUAGCGGUGAAAUGCGUAGAUAUCUGGAGGAACACCGGUGGCGAAGGCGGCAUCCUGGACCAAUAUUGACGCUGAGGAGCGAAAGCCAGGGGAGCAAACGGG
rnacentral:rRNA from 1 species